rnacentral:rRNA from 1 species
AAUGAACGCUGGCGGCGUGCUUAACACAUGCAAGUCGAACGAUGAAGCCCCUGCUUGCAGGGGUGGAUUAGUGGCGAACGGGUGAGUAACACGUGAACAACCUGCCCCUGACUCUGGGAUAAGCGCUGGAAACGGUGUCUAAUACUGGAUAUGUGCCACGGCCGCAUGGUCUGUGGUUGGAAAGAUUUUUCGGUUGGGGAUGGGCUCGCGGCCUAUCAGCUUGUUGGUGAGGUAAUGGCUCACCAAGGCGUCGACGGGUAGCCGGCCUGAGAGGGUGACCGGCCACACUGGGACUGAGACACGGCCCAGACUCCUACGGGAGGCAGCAGUGGGGAAUAUUGCACAAUGGGCGGAAGCCUGAUGCAGCAACGCCGCGUGAGGGAUGACGGCCUUCGGGUUGUAAACCUCUUUUAGCAGGGAAGAAGCGAAAGUGACGGUACCUGCAGAAAAAGCACCGGCUAACUACGUGCCAGCCGCCGCGGUAACAC